rnacentral:rRNA from 1 species
UACGUAGGGUGCGAGCGUUAAUCGGAAUUACUGGGCGUAAAGUGUGCGCAGGUGGCCGCGCAAGUCGAGUGUGAAAUCCCCGAGCUUAACUGGGGAACUGCGUGUGAUACUGGAUGGCUUGGAUUUGGGAGAGGGAUGCGGAAUUCCAGGUGUAGCGGUGAAAUGCGUAGAUAUCUGGAGGAACACCGGUGGCGAAGGCGGCAUCCUGGACCAAUAUUGACGCUGAGGAGCGAAAGCUAGGGGAGCAAAACGGG